GGGGUUGUGGCUCAGUGGUAGAGUGCACGCCUAACACGUGUGAGGUACUGGGUCUGAUCCUCAGCACCA
rnacentral:tRNA from 1 species